AUUGAACGCUGGCGGCAUGCCUUACACAUGCAAGUCGAACGGUAACAGGUUAAGCUGACGAGUGGCGAACGGGUGAGUAAUGUAUCGGAACGUGCCCCGUCGUGGGGGAUAACUGCUCGAAAGAGCAGCUAAUACCGCAUACGACCUGAGGGUGAAAGCGGGGGAUCGCAAGACCUCGCGCGAUUGGAGCGGCCGAUAUCAGAUUAGGUAGUUGGUGAGGUAAAGGCUCACCAAGCCGACGAUCUGUAGCUGGUCUGAGAGGACGACCAGCCACACUGGGACUGAGACACGGCCCAGACUCCUACGGGAGGCAGCAGUGGGGAAUUUUGGACAAUGGGCGCAAGCCUGAUCCAGCCAUGCCGCGUGCGGGAAGAAGGCCUUCGGGUUGUAAACCGCUUUUGUCAGGGAAGAAAAGGUUCUGGCUAAUACCUGGGACUCAUGACGGUACCUGAAGAAUAAGCACCGGCUAACUACGUG
rnacentral:rRNA from 1 species